UUUUCACCAAUACGCCGGCAGGGUCUCCACUUCCUCCUCUCUCACCCUCUCUUCUUCCCACUCCACCCCCCUCUAUGCCUCCUCUUUCCACCAUAUAAUCUGGAGCAUUUGAACACAUAUUAGCCAUGGAAAGAAAUUAGUGAAAUUCAAAACAAUAAAUUUAGUGAUCACAUCAGGGAUGGGUUUGGGAGCUCAAAUAUACCUCGAGAUGAUGCAGAGAUGGGGAAAUCGUUGUUGGCGAUACCCUGCUGAACAACCACACAUAGGGGCUACAGAUAUUUGACCGACUACCAUCUUCUGCCGAGAAGGAGAAGCAGACGCAAAACCUCGGGAUGGUGCAGAGAUGGUGAAAUCGCAGAUGUCGAUACCCUGCUGAACAUCCACAUGUGCGCUGCCAGCAUCCACAAAUAAAUAAACUCAAUCUUGCAUUGACCAUAUAUAUCUUCUCAACCAUAGAAAAAAAUCAAAAUAUAUUAUUUUUAGCAUGAGAAUCUAAGAAUAGUUACUUUCGCACUGCACUAAUGCUAAGCCUGUCAUAAUAAUAUCCUCGGCUCAAGGUAUUUGACCAAAAAAAUAGAAGAGAUAUCAUCAUGCAUAUAAUCCAAUUAACAGUCUAAAUUGCACGACGAACUUUACAUAUUUAAUUUACCCCUGGACUGAACCAGAAGUGACAAAUAUUUUAGCAUUACUCCUUGAGUUGUUUUCUGCAAGGUGUAGAUCUGAUGCUACACACCCUGAUAAAUGUAUAGUAGCAAUUUAUGAUUCUUUUCUAAAAAGGAGGUAUACAACUACACACACUGGAUACUCUAGUUCAUGGUAAUAAAUAUUAAGAGAAGAAAUAUAUCACGACAAUCAUCGUAACUCAUUUCAUGAAAUAAAAAUCGAAAAAAAGGGGGAGAUGCUUUCAUGGAAGAAUCUAAAAUCAUUCACUGGAAAACUAAUAUUGUUUAUUUGCUACCAAUUAUAUAUAUCACAACUGAUGUAUGUACAUUAUCAAAACAGAGCAAGUAACAGGAAGCACAUUAUUAUUUUGAGCUAAAAUGUAUGCAGAUGGUACAGACACUCCAGGUAUAUUCUGAUUAUUCUACUGCCCCUAAGCCCAAAAGAAUGAGCAAGAGGAAAUACAUAUAUCUCAGAAAAACAGGAUUACACAUCUGAAGAAAAUAAAUUUGUCUGAUAAAAUUCCAUGUAUGACUUGCAAAAGUAUAUCUAUUCCCUUUGAUCACUAUUGUGAUAUAACCUGUUAUUAUCCACCUUGAUUUAUCAUUUAUUCUGGUAGAAAGCAGAAGAUAUAACCUAUUAUUUCUACACAAAAAGUAACCUCUAACCAUGAUCUUUAUCGUUUUUAUUUAACUUUUGAGCCUCUGGGAAAUUCAAGAUUCCUUCUUAAGCAUGGGAAUAUGAUAUGCAGAAGAUCUAUGAAACACAAUAAAACUAACUUGAUCUUAAGUUCCCCUGUUCACCAAUAUGGGAAAUACAGAGCUUUGCCUUCAUUGCAUGAUGCAGAUCCUAUGGAUUGUUUACUUAGUAAUUAGUAAUUGACAUUCUUCCCUUGGAACAGAGGUCCAUAACAUGAUGGUGAAACUCAUGGUGUUAUUUAAAUAGUCCCUUCGACUGUAACGGGCUGCCGACAACCCAAGCUACUCUAAAAGGAGAUCAAGCAUCAUUCGGCCUGGGAUACUCACAACACAAGGCUCGGCCUACGUCAUAAAGAAGCUCAACGGGGUUAAUUAAAAUCCGGGAAGACAAAGAUAAAGUAUAGAACAAUUUGGUGAAUACUCAGGCUAUCUAAUGAACCAAUUGCAGGAAAAUUGGACGUACAUGUAGUACUAUCUAUCAUGUUAGCCAACAUACUUGUAAUCAUGUGUAGGGUCAUGAAUAGAACAAUAGAACAC
rnacentral:lncRNA from 1 species